rnacentral:rRNA from 1 species
GAACGCUGGCGGCGUGCCUAAUACAUGCAAGUUGAGCGCUGAAGGUUGGUACUUGUACCACCUGGAUGAGCAGCGAACGGGUGAGUAACGCGUGGGGAAUCUGCCUUUGAGCGGGGGACAACAUUUGGAAACGAAUGCUAAUACCGCAUAAAAACUUUAAACACAAGUUUUAAGUUUGAAAGAUGCAAUUGCAUCACUCAAAGAUGAUCCCGCGUUGUAUUAGCUAGUUGGUGAGGUAAAGGCUCACCAAGGCGAUGAUACAUAGCCGACCUGAGAGGGUGAUAGGCCACAUUGGGACUGAGACACGGCCCAAACUCCUACGGGAGGCAGCAGUAGGGAAUCUUCGGCAAAGGACGAAAGUCUGACCGAGCAACGCCGCGUGGGUGAAGAAGGUGUUCGGAUCGUAAAACUCUGUUGGUAGAGAAGGACGUUGGUGAGAGUGGAAAGCUCAUAAAGUGACGGUAACUACCCAGAAAGGGACGGCUAACUACGU